GUCCAGGGGCGGGAAUCGAACCCACAACCUUCCGCUUACUGGGCAGAUGCCAUGUCCACUAGGCUACCCUGGA
rnacentral:tRNA from 1 species